UACGGGGGGGGGCAAGCGUUGUUCGGAAUUACUGGGCGUAAAGGGCUCGUAGGUGGCCAACUAAGUCAGACGUGAAAUCCCUCAGCUUAACUGGGGAACUGCGUCUGAUACUGGAUGGCUUGAGUUUGGGAGAGGGAUGCGGAAUUCCAGGUGUAGCGGUGAAAUGCGUAGAUAUCUGGAGGAACACCGGUGGCGAAGGCGGCAUCCUGGACCAACACUGACACUGAGGAGCGAAAGCCAGGGGAGCAAACGGGG
rnacentral:rRNA from 1 species